UAUAAGAGAGUCGUAGUCCGGAUUGGAGUAUGCAACUGACUCCAUGAAGUCGGAAUCGCUAGUAAUGGAAGAUCAGAAUGAUACGGUGAAUACGUUCCCGGGCCUUGUACACACCGCCCGUCACACCAUGGGAGUGGGUUGCAAAAAAAGUAGGUAGCAUUAACCUUCCGGGGGA
rnacentral:rRNA from 1 species